UACGGAGGGGGCUAGCGUUGUUCGGAAUUACUGGGCGUAAAGCGCACGUAGGCGGCUUUGUAAGUUAGAGGUGAAAGCCCAGGGCUCAACCCUGGAAUUGCCUUUAAGACUGCAUCGCUAGAAUUGUGGAGAGGUAAGUGGAAUUCCGAGUGUAGAGGUGAAAUUCGUAGAUAUUCGGAAGAACACCAGUGGCGAAGGCGACUCACUGGACGACUGUUGACGCUGAGGUGCGAAAGCGUGGGGAGCAAACAGGG
rnacentral:rRNA from 1 species